GCUACUAUCUAGAUCUACUCUAGUUUAGAGAAAAGAGGAGAGCUCUCAUCUCUAAACCUUAGCUUUUGCUCUGUCUAUGAAUAAUGAAUAAUGAUCAAGGGGUGCCUCCUCCAGGGGCCAGGGGGUCUGGUUUUAUAGUCCCCUCAAGUGAACCUGGGCCGUUGGAUCAAACCGACAUUGAUUGAACGGUUAUCCUUGGUCCUUUGGGUCGGUGGAACAUCAUCCCGAAAGAGAGUCCUGAUCCAACUCUGUAGCUGGGCGGGCGCCCAAGGGGGGAGGGCGGGCGCCCUGCCCCCGGCCUCCCGUUCGUUCCCGUGGUUCUGGAGUCUUCUAGAUGAUAGAAAAUUGCGCGGCACGUUAAUAUCUCUAUGUAAACCCGACAUGUGGGCCUUUCCUCCAUAUUUCUUGAUAACCCCCUGCAGAAAUAGACAAACACCAAAACUCGUGGAAUUCUGUCAGAUAAAACCCUAAGUUUAGUUGUUGGUUGUAUUUGGAUCCUUUUCUUUGUUUAUUUGCUGAUUAUAUUCGGUACUUUUGGACCGUCAACAACUCCCCCAAGCUUACCUCUUGCUCGUCCCUGAGCAAGGAUGGACUCAAAAGUUUCUGCAGUGGUUUUAUGCCUUAAAGGUACACAUGCGUUUAAACAAGAUCUCAUCUCUAGGUUAGGGUAAACUGUUAAGAUUUAAACUUACUCAUAUUACCUUUCACCAUGGGGCUUGCAACCGUCACUUGUGUCUUGAGCAGUUAAAAGAUAGAACGGUCAAGUCAAGCGCCAUGGCUCUUGUUCUUUGAUCAACUAUAGCUCUGGAGUUUUUGCAGAUUUUCAAAAUAAAACUCAUAGAUUCCUUGUAUGACUCUCUCAAUUCUCUCUUUUGUGGUAUUUCUGGAUCCUUAGCAAGGCAGUAAUGGUGUAUGCCUUCUCUCAAAGUAUGUGGUAUUUUUGGUAUGAGGCAUAGUGACAUUGCCUUCUCUCUCACCCUACUCUAAUAAGGUUUGAUAUCUGGAGCUAGCUCAUAGGUGGGAGACAGCUAAUAUAUACUUACAAGACAUCUAUUGCAUAGUCAAACCAUGGAUCGAGACAAACGAGUCAAUAAGUUAAAUCAAGAUGUGCAUGUGUGGCGAAUGAAUGGUGUAUGGUGAUGAUGGUGAAAACAUUGGUGAAAGUCUAAUUCUACUUUUGCUCUUUUGAGGGGAUACAUACCUUUCUUGCACUUUGAAGGUUUUUGAGAGGAAUGAGAUGCUCUAUAUUUUCUUUUUUUUCUCUCAGGUGGGUAUCUUGUACCCCUAAUUCUACUGUCGGACACUUGUCCAUUUUUACCUCUCGUCUCACUUUUUCUUUUCUUCGAGGUUCCGGGCACUUGCCCCUUUUUAUUUCCUAGUACUUUUUUUUCUCUUUUUUUCGGAGCACUCACCCUCCUAGAAUAAUGUAGCAAGUGGUAGUAACCAAAAUAUCAAGACCAUUUAUUUCACGGGGAAUAAUAGGGAUAGGAUAAUGUUUUUGGCUAUUCUCUCCUGGAUAGGAGUAGAAUAAUUUUAGGUGAAUCUGGAGAUGGAAAGGAGUGGAUGUAUGUGGAUGCGUACUUCUGUAGUAGAAGCAGCAUGUAUGAGUGAACGUGCAAAUGAAUCUUGAUUUUAACCGCAUGACAAGCUCCUAAUGGUCUACACAGCUUGACCACACUCAAUGCUCAUAAGCAGUAAAAAGUAAAUAUAUGGUUCAUAGUCUAAUAAGCAUGUAUAUGUGGUUGUGGUAGGAUUUUAAACUCUCAUCAUACAGGAACUCAUCAUGCAACAUUUUAAAGAUUUUCAAAGAUAAAAUUCUCCAGAAUUCUAGCAUCUCUUGGAACAGAUAAGCAGCAGCUCAACCUUCACAUAUCAUAUCCGUUAACGACUUAGACUUUAGAUCAAGUACUCUUCCCACAAGUUCAGGUUUAGAGCAAAUCUUAAUUCAUAACAGUCAUGCCUAAACUUGAGAGAGAUUUCACUUUUGAGAACUAGUCAUGGCAGAGCAACUAUUCAUCAUUUCCAUGUGAGAGCUUAUCAUGAGGGUUCAUAGCAAACUUUAUUUAUUUAUUUAUUUAGCAAACUAAGAAAAGAUAUAUAUAUAUAUAUAUAAGCCUAAAAUUUUUAUUUGGGUUUUUAUGAUUAUGCAUCUUUUUAUUAUUUUAACAAAGUAUAAGUAUAAACGUAGAUAGAAAUACUUAGCUGGAUAAAUGGGGGUGCUCUCCCCCAAGCUGGAUUUUGACGUAAUUUCUUCUGAGGUAGCUAGCAGGUGACGGAGGUGUACUUGAAUGUCGGCAGCACCCUGAUAGCGAUUAGGAUGUCCUCCGUCUGCUAGUCUUCUUUGAUCCUUGAAUUCUGUGGAGCUCAAAUAGACAACAAAGCUUUGUGGAACUGGUUAAGUGUUAGCAUAAAAUCUCUUCGCCUUUAUCCUGUUCAGCUUCCUGUAAUAAAUAUUACUCUCUUUGGUAGGAUCAUAAAUUUAUUUUUAUAUUUUCAUUUCUAUAGGACAAGAAUAUAUUUUUUUUUUUUACGCCACCACAGUGAAUGUACUUAUGGGUUUCAUGCCAUGAGCAUAUUCACAUGCGGCUUAGUAUUUUUUUAACAUUUUUAUUUUCUUUUCAAGAUAGCAUGAUUAACUAAUAAGCUUUAUAAGGAAAGUAAGUAAUUAAAGGGAAAAGGGAAUGCAGAAAGGAUAAAUAUGGAUAACUACCGAUUUUACCUUUCGGCGAGGGUUCAAUGUUUUAAGUGUUCUGAACAAGACUUCUCACCGUGUUCAUUCUUUAGGUGCGUCAUUUGAUUCAGGUGCGGACCUUGACAUCUGCACCUCUUGAUACAGUGUCACCCAUGUUCUUCGUUUGCCCAGCAGUUCGAAGUGCGGCGUUGGCAGCAUCCUGCUCAGUGUGUUUGUGCUCGUAGUGUACCUGCUCAUAGAGACAAGGCAGAGAUCAAGUGCAUGGGCCCUGUUGGUGGAAAACACCAACAGAACCAAAAGUGUAUUUGUUCUUCUCUAACCUUAAGCGUGGUGAGCAAGACAAAGUUGAUGAAUGAUAAGUUCAUGAGUGUAGCAUUUAAAACAUUUGCCGGAUCAGAUCGCUCAACCUAAUGGAAAGAUAAUCUAUCUAUAUAUAUGCCUUUUUCUUUAUAUCUUCCCAAAGAUUAAAUGUGCAACAUUUUAGCUCAUAUGGUUAGGAGUGUGGGAUCAUGGAGGUAGUACUAGGAACAAAGAUUAAAGGACUAAACAUGUUGAUUCAGUUGGGUUGGUUAAUUUAGAGUUAUAAAUCAUACAUAUUUGUCUCUUUAUUUAUGUGAACGCCAGAACUAAGGAGAAGCUUAUAAAAGUGAUAGUCAGAUAUCUUAAGAUGUUACCUUACUUGAAGAGUGAUGGUAUAGUAUCACCUUCUGGAGGCUUUCCUUUCGUAGUGGUUGUGUAUCUUGUUUAUGUACUUUGUCUCCUUCCAUGGAUCAUCUCUGUAUGAUGAAUGAGCUAUGUCCUUCUUGUGCAAAUUGUUAAACUUCAUGUGUUACUCUCUUCAUCUCCGAUGUGAGUUUAUCUCAGGACUUCCCAGGUUGAUAGUGAAAGUUUUCCUGUAGGGUUUAGUCCGACAAAAUAUACCAAUACCUACUCAAGCAGUUUUUAAUUCAGUAACCAAACUAGACUCCAUGUCUAAUCAGAUUAAGGAAGGCUAUUUAACCUAAGCACCAUGCUCAAUUUAAAUGCCAAUGGAAGUAUGUCGAGUACUUCCAAACCAACACUUCCUAGAAAAUAGACAAAGGUAGCAUGACAGCAUUUACAGAGAUCUACUCAAGUGGAGAUAGAGUAGUGUGAUUAGUAUUUAACAAAUUGAGCAUGUCUCAAAGGUAGGGACAACCAACAUAGCAACAUGGCAAAGGAUGUUAAGUGCUCCCCCAAGCUUGAAUUUUGCAAAAUUCAAGUUUGGAUGAAUUUAAUUCAAUGUUGUAUGAUGAUUGGUUGGACAUACCUUGUGCUUGUCAUUCAUCUGAUCUUCUUGGUCCAAUCCUGGAAAGGUUAGUGACAAGAAUACCCACAGUAAUAUUUUUACAAUUAUCCUUAUAUGCUCAAUACACAAGGUAAUGUUGCAAAUAAUUAAACGCUCAUGUUACGAUCUGAUCAAUGCUUAUUUUAGGACACUAAGCUUGUCCUUGGGAAACCAUCAAUUUAUGUCGGUGAAGUGGUUUCCCUUCCAACGCUGACCUAUAUCAAGAUCAACUCAACGAGAUCUGCAAUAUUUAUUAUAGACAUAUGCAUCGACAACCGCCCUUUUAAAGUUUUUAUAAAUAGAAAGAAAGAUCAACUCCGAACAUCAAGUGUGGUGAUGUCAGAGAGACCAAUAGAUUGGGAAGAUGUUGUAUAUGAGCAUGGAGUAAAUGAAAUGGCUAUGAAAUAAAUUCCAUGCUCAUUAAUGUUAUCUUCGUCUCCAAUCUGAAUGUUCGGAGUUUGUCCUGGAUUGGUCUCACCUAUGUCCUCUUCUAUAGUUGGAUGAAUCUCAUCUUCAAAGGGAGUCAAGAACUCACCAUUUGAAAUUCAGCCAAAGUCAAAAUCCAUUAUGGCUUCUUCCUUAUCCAUCCAUUCUACACAUUCUAGCCAUUCAGAACUUGUGAUCAGGAAAGGGGAGGUGUUAGAAUUUUCUAUAUGGCUUAGCUCUCCUUCACUUGAUAUGUCAUCCUCAACUUCUUCAUAAUAGGAACCAGGACAUUCUCUAAGAGAAACAUUAUUGCAAGGAUUUGAAUUAUCCUUGCUUGAAGGUCUCUUAUGGAACCAGAAGUCUAAACCAUCAGUAUCUGAAAUAUUUAAGGUCGGAAUUCCUUCCUCCCUUGGAGAAUUUUGGGGUAUUGAUGGUUUAGGAUCGAUAGCUAAAGUUUGAAAUUGAAGUGGUUGUGAUCUGGCUAUCGAAACUUCUUCUUCUUGUCUAGGAACUGGUUCUGUAUCUUUCUUAGGGAUAUAAAAGCUAGGAGACUUUCCACUCAUUAAAUCAAUCAAAUUCCAAGCUUCACUAGAGGAUAGGUGGUGGAAAGAUCCUCCAGAGGCCGCAUGAAGGGUUUCCUUAUUUUCCCCACUUGCUAGGUUGACCACUUGAAUACUAGGUUGUCAUCCCCAGCAUGGCACUAGAGUGUACUAUGGUAUUUAUACGCACACAGAUAAUCCGGAAGUGCACGGAUACCGUUGUAGCCUUUUACCCGGUUAAAGGUUUUAUUGUAUCCACAGGGAAACGGGAGAACUGAUCUACGCUCUAACUUAACCAAGAUAAGUAAAUAGGUGUAAAUAGGAAAGAUGGUAGAAUCGAAUAAGAACAAUAUUAAAGGUAAGAUAACGGUGAGUGACAAUAUGGGAAUAGAGAGUAGAACAAUCUAGUAUAUGGGCGAUGGUAGCAGAAUAGAAAGGAUAACAAUGGUUUCUCUACUUCAAAGGGGUAUGUCUAUGUCUGGGACGAACCACGUGAUAAGAUUACACCACAAAGGAUGCUUAUCCAUAGGCCGAUAAACCCUACCCAUCCUGCUAACGAGAUGUGGACUACAGAGGACCAACGUAACUGUCACCUACGUGGCCUACCACACGAUCCAGCUAGACAGGGGAUAUCCACAAGUAAUCUAGGUCUAAGCACCAUGCUUACACCUAUACUACAACUCUAACCUAUAGGGUCCUAUAGAUUAGAAGUACUCAAAAGAGCUGUGAACCAGAACAUACAUGAUUAGUAAUUGCAUAAUGAAUUAGAAGUAGAUUACCAGAGUCAUCCCAUGAGCAAGCUUGAUUAGAGCUUGAUUAUGACAAAGUACAACCGGAGGAAGAACCGACAGGCCGGCCUCUCAUCUGACCCUCCUUCGCUCUCUAUCUCGCUACUAUCUAGAUCUACUCUAGUUUAGAUAAGAGAGGAGAGCUCUCAUCUCUAAACCCUAGCUUCUGCUCUGUCUAUGAAUAAUGAAUAAUGAUCAAGGGGUGCCUCCUCCAGGUGCCAGGGGGUCUGGUUUUAUAGUCCCCUCAAGUGAACCUGGGCCGUUGGAUCAAACCGACAUUGAUUGAACGGUUAUCCUUGAUCCUUUAGGUCGGUGGAACAUCAUCCCGAAAGAGUGUCCUGAUCCAACUCUGUAGCUGGGCGGGCGCCCAAGGGGGGAGGGCGGGCGCCCUGCCCCCGGGCCCGUUCGGCCUCCCGUUCGUUCCGGUGGCUUCUGGAGUCUUCUAGAUGAUAGAAAAUUGCGCGGCACGUUAAUAUCUCUAUGUAAACCCGACAUGUGGGCCUUUCCUCCAUAUAUUCUGAUAACCCCCUAUAGAAAUAGACAAACAACAAAACUCAUGGAAUUCUGCCAGAUAAAACCCUAAGUUUAAAUGUUGGUUGUAUUUGGAUCCUUUUCUUUGUUUAUUUGCUGAUUAUAAUUGGUACUUAAGGACCGUCAACAACUCCCCCAAGCUUACCUCUUGCUCGUCGCUGAGCAAGAAUGGACUCAAAAGUUUCUGCAGUGGUUUUAUGCCUUAAAGGUACACAUGCGUUUAAACAAGAUCUCAUCUCUAGGUUAGGGUAAACUGUUAAGAUUUAAACUUACUCAUAUUACCUUUCACCAUGGGGCUUGCAACCGUCACUUGUGUCUUGAGCAGUUAAAAGAUAGAACGGUCAAUUCAAGCGCCAUGUCUCUUGUUCUUUGAUCAACUAUAGCUCUGGAGUUUUAGCAGAUUUUCAAAAUAAAACUCAGAGAUUCCUUGUAUGACUCUCUCAAUUCUCUCUUUUGUGGUAUUUCUGGAUCCUUACCAAGGCAGUAAUGGUGUAUGCCUUCUCUCAAAGUAUGUGGUAUUUUUGGUAUGAGGCAUAGUGACAUUGCCUUGUCUGUCACCCUACUCUAAUAAGGUUUGAUAUCUGGAGCUAGCUCAUAGGUGGGAGACAGCUAAUACAGACUUACAAGACAUUUAUUGCAUAGUCAAACCAUGGAUCCAGAGAAACGAGUUAAUAAGUCAAAUCAAGAUGUGCAUGUGUGGCGAAUGAAUGGUGUAUGGUGAUGAUGGUGAAAGUCUAAUUCUACUUUUGCUCUUUUGAGGGGAUACAUACCUUUCUUGCACUUUGAAGGUUUUUGAGAGGAAUGAGAUGCUCUAUAUUUUCUUUUUUUUUCUCUCAGGUGGGUAUCUUGUACCCCUAAUUCUACUGUCGGACACUUGUCCAUUUUUACCACUCGUCUCACUUAUUCUUUUCUUUGAGGUUCCGGGCACUUGCCCCUUUUUAUUUCCACGUAUUUUUUUUCUCUUUUUUUUUCAGAGCACUCACCCUCCUAGAAUAAUGUAGCAAGUGGUAGUAACCAAAAUAUCAAGAGCAUUUAUUUCACGGGGAAUAAUAGGGAUAGGAUAAUAUUUUUGGCUAUUCUCUCCUGGAUAGGAGUAGAAUAGUUUUAGGUGAAUCUGGAGAUGGAAAGGAGUGGAUGUAUGUGGAUGCCUACUUCUAGAGUAGAAGCAGCAUGUAUGAGUGAACGUGCAAGUGAAUCUUGAUUUUAACCGCAUGACAAGCUCCUAAGGGUCUACACAGCUUGACCACACUCAAUGCUCAUAAGCAGUAAAACGUAAAUAUAUGGUUCAUAGUCUAAUAAGCAUGUAUAUGUGGCUGUGGUAGAAUUUUAAACUCUCAUCAUACAGGAACUCAUCAUGCAAUAUUUUAAAGAUUUUCAAAGAUAAAAUUCUCCAGAAUUCUAGCAUCUCUAGGAACAGAUAAACAGCAGCUCAACCUUCCCAUAUCAUAUCCGUUAACGACUUAGACUUUAGAUCAAGUACUCUUCCCACAAGUUCAGGUUUAGAGCAAAUCUUAAUUCAUAACAGUCAUGCGUAAACUUGAGAGAGAUUUCACUUUUGAGAACUAGUCAUGGCAGAGCAACUAUUCAUCUUUUCCAUGUGAGAGCUUAUCAUGAGGGUUCAUAGCAAACUUUAUUUAUUUAUUUAUUUAGCAAACUAAGAAAAGAUAUAUAUAUAAGCCUAAAAUAUUUAUUUGGGUUUUUAUGAUUAUGCAUCUUUUUAUUAUUUUAACAAAGUAUAAGUAUAAACGUAGAUAGAAAUACUUAGCUGGAUAAAUGGGGGUGCUCUCCCCAAAGCUGGAUUUUGACGUAAUUUCUUCUGAGGUAGCUAGCAGGUGAUGGAGGUGUAUUUGAAUGUCGGCAGCACCCUGACAGCGAUUAGGAUGUCCUCCGUCUGCUAGUCUUAUUUGAUCCUUGAAUUCUGUGGAGCUCAAAUAGACAACAAAGCUUCGUGGAACUGGUUAAGUGUUAGCAUAAAAUCUCUUCGCCUUUAUCCUAUGGAGCUUCCUCUAAUAAAUAUUACUCUCUUUGGUAGAAUCAUAAAUUUAUUUUUAUAUUUUCAUUUCUAUAGGACAAGAAUAUAUUUAUUUUAUUUUUACGCCACCAUAGUGAGUGUACUUAUGGGUUUCAUGCCAUGAGCAUACUCACAUGGGGCUUAGUAUUUUUUUAACAUUUUUAUUUUCUUUUCAAUAUAGCAUGAUUAACUAAUAAGCUAUAUAAGGAAAGUAAGUAAUUAAAGGGAAAAGAGAAUGCAGAAAGGAUAAAUAUGGAUAACUACCGAUUUUACCUUUCGGCGAGGGUUCAAUGUUUUAAGUCUACUGAACAAGACUUCUCACCGUGUUCAUUCUUUAGGUGCGUCAUUUGAUUCAGGUGCGGACCUUGACGUCUGCAUCUCUUGAUACAGUGUCACCCAUGUUCUUCGUUUGCCCAGCAGUUCGAAGUGCGGCGUUGGCAGCAUCCUGCUCAGUGUGUUUGUGCUCGUAGUGUACCUGCUCAUAGAGACAAGGCAAAGAUCAAGUGCAUGGGCCCUGUUGGUGGAAAACACCAACAGAACCAAAAGUGUAUUUGUUCUUCUCUAACCUUAAGCAUGGUGAGCAAGACAAAGUUGAUGAAUGAUAAGUUCAUGAGUGUAGCAUUUAAAACAUUUGUCAGAUCAGAUCGCUCAACCUAAUGGAAAGAUAAUCUAUCUAUAUAUAUGCCUUUUUCUUUAUAUCUUCCCAAAGAUUAAAUGUGCAACAUUUUAGCUCAUAUGGUUAGGAGUGUGGGAUCAUGGAGGUAGUACUAGGAACAAAGAUUAAAGGACUAAACAUGCUGAAUCAGUUGGGUUGGUUAAUUUGGAGUUAUAAAUCAUACAUGUUUGUCUCUUUAUUUAUGUGAACGCCAGAACUAAGG
rnacentral:lncRNA from 1 species